rnacentral:rRNA from 1 species
ACUCCUACGGGAGGCAGCAGUGGGGAAUAUUGCACAAUGGGCGCAAGCCUGAUGCAGCCAUGCCGCGUGUAUGAAGAAGGCCUUCGGGUUGUAAAGUACUUUCAGCAGUGAGGAAGGUGGAUAUGUUAAUAGCAUAUUCAUUUGACGUUAGCUGCAGAAGAAGCACCGGCUAACUCCGUGCCAGCAGCCGCGGUAAUACGGAGGGUGCGAGCGUUAAUCGGAAUUACUGGGCGUAAAGCGCAUGCAGGUGGUUUGUUAAGUCAGAUGUGAAAGCCCGGGGCUCAACCUCGGAAUUGCAUUUGAAACUGGCAAACUAGAGUACUGUAGAGGGGGGUAGAAUUUCAGGUGUAGCGGUGAAAUGCGUAGAGAUCUGAAGGAAUACCGGUGGCGAAGGCGGCCCCCUGGACAGAUACUGACACUCAGAUGCGAAAGCGUGGGGAGCAAACAGGAUUAGAUACCCUGGUAGGCGUUGU